GGAGAAGAAUGUGCCAGGAACCGAAGGGUGAUGCUGUCCUUCACAGGCAACGGGGCAUUAAUGCUGUGCUGAUGAAGCAUCGCUCAUGUGGUCAGAGUGGCCUUUCUGCAGGGGGUGUACUACAGCCACGCUAAAACCCUGUCUUCAGAUGAGGUACAUGUUUAAAGGACAGCUUUCUAAGAGUGGAGACAGAGGAACAGAAGACAUGAUGUGUGUGGAUCCUUCGUGCAAAAGAGAGGACUCUUUCUCCAGCUCGUUGAAGACUGAGAAGGUGGUAGAGUUAAUGGAAAUCAUUAAAUUUAGGUCCUUAUGUGUUUAUCAGAUUUCCUUGAAAAGUGCUCAGGGCCAAUUUUUCCCUGUAUCUAUAUGGUCACCUGUAUUCUACCACAGUUCAGUAGCAUUGAUGCAUCCUCUUUUUCUUGCCUUCAUACCUUAAUACUCCCCACUGAAGUCUAGGUUUUCCUUCCGUUUUAUCACAGAGAUGGGCUGUUUGGCACCAGGGUGGUUUUUCCCAGAUGGUAAAAGCAUCUUACAGAAUUUUUCACUUAUGUGACGAAUGACAGUAACCUGAAAGGUACAUCAUGAAUUCGGGUCCAGCGCAGACUAGUGAUCAGCCAGACCCACCUUUCUUCCCAGCUUUUCAGAUAAGUUGAUCACGUUGUGACCAGACACUGGAACUUCCUGCAGUCACUGAAAGAAGGGAAAAAUGUAUCUAUAGUUAGGGGAAUUGCUAUUGAAGACAUAACUAGGAGAUAAAACCAAAGCGCAAUAACAUAACAUAAGGAAAGCUAUUGUAUCUUUGAAUGAUGCGGUGCAUGGGACGGCCCUGAGCUGACAGAUACAACUUUUCCGCAAUAUUGAAGCAAGCUAGAACAGAGGCAGCAACAAAUGUCCAAUGAGGAGAUCAAAGGUGCACGAAUCCUCCAUUGCUUUUUAAUAGGAAGUAGCUUGGGGGUGGCAGGGAGCCCAGAGUAUUUCUCCCAUCAGCUUUAAAUCUUUUCUUGAUCAAUUGCAAAGCAGGAGCAGAUUCCUUGUUGGGAAGAACAUUGGUUCUCUGACUCAAAAAUAGUGUGAGAACCCAAACAGCGAUGGCAUGACAGGGAAGAGAGCCAAAGCACGACAGCUUCUAUAAACUUGGACGUUUAAUUUUCUUCCGUCUGCCGUGCAUGUGUGGCCACGCUAUCCAUUAGGUAACGAGAUUUAUGAUUUCAAUAGCUCUAGCUUUGUUUCUUUCUGAACAAUGGGACUCAAUAUUUGCUGGAAGAGUCUCUGCAGCGCUUGCCUAGCCUCCUACCUUUCACAAAGACCCUGCACAGAGUGGUAAUGCUGGUAAGUGGCAAGCUGAAAUGCAUGGAAGUGUUCACUUAUUUGCAGCUGCCUCCCUGAAACUGGCCACAGUCAGCUGUACUCACCAGCGAUGAGAUCCUGGCCAUGCUGUUUUGAAACCAGUGCUAUCAAGCGCUUGAUUAAGGACAGGCAAAGUGAGAAAUCCAAGCUGAGCUUUUGUCGGUUGACAACCUCUGCAUCGUGCCUGUUGAGCUAACAUGCAGCUGGAAACACAGCUUGGGCUGGCCCACGACCCAUUCCUAUUGGGCACCUAAAUUAGCAGGCAGGGCAGGUUCCUGGCCACAGCAGGUCCGGCACAAGCCCCAAAUAGUUGAAACAUGGCAUAGUGACAAAUGGCAAGCACUCAAGAACCAAGCUGAGAUACCAGAGGGAUUAAAAAGUAGAAAAAACUCUCAGAACUUGUGGUUCCAUUUAUUUUCUCUCAUGUGAUUCUUAGGGUAAUCAGUUGCAGCAAUGGUAACCAUUCAUAAAGCUUUAUGGUCCAAACCUGCCAAACUUGUCAGAGGAGCAAGAAAUAUGUUCAAGAUGAGCUGUGAAAAGCCAUGGGGAACACUGGCAAAGCUAAAGAGAGGAAGGAAGGGAAGGGGCGGGAGGAGGGAGAAUUCCUGAGCCCAGAGUGAGAGCUUUCAGCGUGGAACAACCGUGACAAGUUGUGCUUUGCCAUCAGCUCGCAGCUUCACUGCACAAGGAGAGCGUGUGCGGCCGGCGCUGGGGAGCCGCUCUGUAUUGCACUGCCACCUAGUGCUCUCUCUGCGGACCUUCUCCAAAAUUAAAAGUGAGUGGCAAGCAAUAGCAGUACAUGCUCAAGCAUACCGAGCAUAUCCCUUCUACAUUUUUACCACUUAGUUACGAAUGGAAUUCUGUCACAUGGAACUGCCAACCAGAUACAAAACGUUUUAAAGGGUUUUAAAAUGCUCGUUGCAGGAACAUACCCUUAAUCUGGAAUUUAAGAGUUAAUGAGAAUGAAACAACUUUUUACAAGACUGUAGAAAACCCAGGAGAAGGAAAGAACUAUUAGGACAUCCUGUCUUUUCCCAGCAAGCUUCAUUGAGCUUACUCACGGUUUUCCUUUUAAAAUAUUGCAGUGUUCUAUAGCCAAGACGUCAAAACCAGCCACUGGCACUAAAUUUAAACACUGACAUUUGGACUUUAUGUUCAUUUUUGUUGUUGUUGUUAUUGUUUUUGCUCUGUAUUGGUAUGUGGAAGAGAAUUCUUGGAAAGAUGGAAACAAGAUUUAUCUCCCAUACUAGGUCCCUCCACCCCCAUUCUCUUAGAGCACAGCUAAUGGUAUUUUACAGAACUGAGAUUACAAAGAGACAUUCCAGACAGUUAGCAAUUCUUUAAUUAACAGAGUACAAGGGGCUGAACUGGAAAUUUGGCACUUACAGCACAAAUGGCACAUAGAAGAAAAACAGAGCAGAUCUUCAAUGGUGGCCAGGCUUGGUAGAGUAUAUGACUGAACAGGCACCUUCACCUUGGCCAGAUCCUGCAGCCAUAUUGCAUAAAAUUUGUAUCAGCAGACCAGUUUAAAUCAUCUGCCCAAAUGUGUGCUUUGAUAUGCUGGGCACUGAGAAUAAAAAACACAGCCAUCAAAGGUCA
rnacentral:lncRNA from 1 species